GUGUUGUUAUUCUGGGGGCCGGCAGCCGCGGUAAUUCCAGCUCCAAUAGCGUAUAUAAAACUUGUUGCAGUUAAAAAGCUCGUAGUUGAACUUCGGCCUUGCGCGUCCUGCGGGUCUGCGCGCGGCCUUUGCGUUACUUUGAGAAAAUUAGAGUGUUUCAAGCAGGCUUUCGCCGUGAAUACUUGAGCAUGGAAUAACUGGGCAGGACCUUGGUUCUUCUUUGUUGGUUUUGUACCUGGGUAAUGGUUAAUAGGAACGGUUGGGGGCAUUCGUAUUUAACUGUCAGAGGUGA
rnacentral:rRNA from 1 species